rnacentral:rRNA from 2 species
CUACCUGAUGACCGAUAGUGAAGCAGUACCGUGAGGGAAAGGUGAAAAGAACCCCGGGAGGGGAGUGAAAUAGAACCUGAAACCGUGUGCCUACAACCGGUCAAAGCCCCUUAUGAGGGUGAUGACGUGCUUUUUGUAGAACGAGCCAACGAGUUACGGUAUGUAGCAAGGUUAAGUACUUAAGGUACGGAGCCUAAGGGAAACCGAGUCUUAAUAGGGCGACUAGUUGCAUGCCGUAGACCCGAAACCGGGUGACCUAUCCAUGGCCAGGUUGAAGCGGGGGUAAAACCCCGUGGAGGACCGAACCACGUUGCUGUUGAAAAAGCAUGGGAUGAGCUGUGGAUAGCGGAGAAAUUCCAAUCGAACUCGGAGAUAGCUGGUUCUCCUCGAAAUAGCUUUAGGGCUAGCGUCGGAUAUGAGUAAUGGAGGUAGAGCACUGAAUGGGCUAGGGGGCGUAUCGCUUACCGAACCUUAUCAAACUCCGAAUGCCAUAUACUAUGAGUCCGGCAGUCAGACUACGAAUGAUAAGAUCCGUGGUCAAAAGGGAAAAAGCCCAGAUCGUCAGCUAAGGUCCCAAAGUGUAAGUUAAGUGGUAAAGGAUGUGGGAUUUCUAAGACAACUAGGAUGUUGGCUUAGAAGCAGCCACUCAUUUAAAGAGUGCGUAAUAGCUCACUAGUCGAGAGAUCCUGCGCCGAAAAUGUCCGGGGCUCAAACUUACCACCGAAGCUACGGGCUCAAGUUUACUUGAGCGGUAGAGGAGCGUCGUAAUCGGGCUGAAGUCGUACCGUAAGGAGCGGUGGACUGAUUACGAGUGAGAAUGUUGGCAUUAGUAGCGAGAUGUAAGUGAGAAUCUUACAGGCCGAAAAUCUAAGGUUUCCUGGGGAAGGCUCGUCCGCCCAGGGUUAGUCGGGACCUAAGCCGAGGCCGAAAGGCGUAGGUGAUGGACAAUUGGUUGAUAUUCCAAUACCACUAUUAUCGUUAUUAUCGAUGGUGUGACGGAGAAGGAUAGGAUGUGCUAGCGAUUGGAAAUGCUAGUCUAAGCAUUUAGGGAGUUAAAGUAGGCAAAUCCGCUUUAACAAUUCUGAGGUGUGAUGGGGAAGGUCAUUUUGACUGAAGUAUCUGAUUCCAUGCUUCCAAGAAAAGCAUCUAGAGAGAGAAGUAGUGCCCGUACCGCAAACCGACACAGGUAGAUGAGGAGAGAAUCCUAAGGCCAUCGGAAGAAUUGCAGUUAAGGAACUAGGCAAAUUGACCCCGUAAGUUCGCGAGAAGGGGUGCCUGUGAGAGCAGGCCGCAGAGAAUAGGCCCAAGCAACUGUUUAGCAAAAACACAGGUCUCUGCUAAAGCGUAAGCUGAUGUAUAGGGGCUGACGCCUGCCCGGUGCUGG